rnacentral:rRNA from 1 species
UACGGAGGGUGCAAGCGUUAUCCGGAUUCACUGGGUUUAAAGGGUGCGUAGGUGGCUAUAUAAGUCAGUGGUGAAAGCCCGCGGCUCAACCGUGGAAUUGCCAUUGAAGCUGCAUAGCUUGAGUACAAUUGAAGUGGGCGGAAUACAUCAUGUAGCGGUGAAAUGCUUAGAUAUGAUGUAGAACACCGAUUGCGAAGGCAGCUCACUAAGUUGUAACUGACACUGAGGCACGAAAGCGUGGGUAGCGAACAGG